CCUGGUAGUCCAUGCCGUAAACGAUGAAUGCUAGGUGUUGGAGGGUUUCCGCCCUUCAGUGCCGCAGCUAACGCAUUAAGCAUUCCGCCUGGGGAGUACGACCGCAAGGUUGAAACUCAAAGGAAUUGACGGGGGCCCGCACAAGCGGUGGAGCAUGUGGUUUAAUUCGAAGCAACGCGAAGAACCUUACCAGGUCUUGACAUCUUUUGAUCACCUGAGAGAUCAGGUUUCCCCUUCGGGGGCAAAAUGACAGGUGGUGCAUGGUUGUCGUCAGCUCGUGUCGUGAGAUGUUGGGUUAAGUCCCGCAACGAGCGCAACCCUUAUGACUAGUUGCCAGCAUUUAGUUGGGCACUCUAGUAAGACUGCCGGUGACAAACCGGAGGAAGGUGGGGAUGACGUCAAAUCAUCAUGCCCCUUAUGACCUGGGCUACACACGUGCUACAAUGGAUGGU
rnacentral:rRNA from 2 species